rnacentral:lncRNA from 1 species
CAGAGUAACGCCUUAAGAAAGAUGACAUGAUGUAGAGGGAUAAUAUCAAACCAAUGAUAAAAACCCAUCCUUUUACCCUUGAUGGGAUCUACUUGAUGUGUGCCUUGCUGCCCCUGCUGUCACUGAAAAAGGUCACCACGUGAUAGAACUCAAAACCAAACACUUCUCCCAUUGCAUGAAUCAUAGAUCUAGUUGGUCAAACAAAACCCAAGACUCGGAAAGACUUACAAGGAUAUCANCAUGGAGAACUUUGUAUUAAAGAUCCAAGAGAGAAGAAUCCGUCUAGCUACUAAAUACGGAACCGUAGGUCUGAAAUGAACUACUCACGAGUCAUUGAAGAUGCGAUGAUGAUGAUGAAGAAGCCCUCCAACUCCAAAGUCCCCUCCGGGAGGGCGUCGGGAAGGGUCUCCAGAUGCGAUCUCGCAGAAACGGAAGCUUGCGGCGGCGGAAAAAUAUUUUCGAGGCUCCCGUGAUUUUUUUGUGGAAUAUUUGGAAAUAUAUAGGCCAAGGAUCUAGGUCAGGGGGCAGCCAGGGAGGCCACAAGCCUGUCCACCGUCGCGUGCCACCUGGUGGCGGAGUUGGGGCUUGUGGGCUCCCUGAAGCCCACCUGGCUUGGUCCAAAGGCCCCCUGAUCUUCUUCCGUUCAGAAAAAAAUCAUUUUAACGUUUUUCUUUCGUAUGAACUCCGUUCCAAAAUCAGAUCUAAAAAGAGUCAAAAACACGAAAAAAACAAAAACUGACACUUGGCACUGAAUUAAUAAGUUAGUUAAAAAAGAUAUGAAAAAUAAAUCAAACAAUCAAAGAAGACAAGAUAACAACGUGAAACCAUCAAAAAUUAUAGAUACGUUUCAGACGUAUCAAUGCCAUGUUGAAGUUAUGAUGUAUCAAAGUUAUCAAACAACCAUAUCAGCAAACAUCACGUCAAACAUGCAAACAUGCUUUAGUGGGUCGACGAAGUCGGAGUCUAGCUCGAUGAAGUUGACGGCAGCGUCCCCCCCUUUGGAAUAUAUAUCACACAAAUACCGGUUCUACCAUAAAUACCGAGAACGUAAAAAGUUGUAUAAAAAUAUUUUGUAAUAAAUAUGAUUAAAAACUAGACAACAGAAUAAAAGUUUUGGAAAAAUAAUCAGCUCAACAACCAUUUUAUUUUAAAAGAUAUGAAGGAAAUAAGAUUUGGGACCAAUUUGUAAUAAAGAAAAGUUUCCCAUGGGGAAAACUGGAAAAGAAGAAAACGGUUCGGCAGAAAUGCACAAACCGACAGAGAAAACGAUUUCUGACGAAAGACGCCAUUAGAAAACGAUUCGAAAAAGAAAGAAUCCACACAGUGGGCCAAUACUAUGAGGUUCAAAUCUCCUCGCUGGAGGUAGGGGCAACGCGCCGUCGCCGGCGACGUGCUGGUGUGAAACAGAGGGGAGAGGGAGUGGGCGCACUCAUUGAGGCCUUCCGCAACCGAGGGAUGUGGAAGGGGUCGACGGUGAGCUCUAUGAUGGCGGCUACCCUCACUCCGGUGGACGGCCGUUUUGGGUGUUGGCCGAUCUCGACAGAGGUAGCUGCAAGCUCCGAAUUGAGGCACGACUCACAUGGGCGGAUGCUCAUAGAGCCUACUGGCAAAGUUUGGUCUGCAGGGCCUUGCUCACCUGCGCGAAUUUUCCCGGAGCCCGGAGCUGAUGGGGCGGCCCGAGGUGGAGAAGAUGACUCUCCCGAGCUCCUCCAAGGGGUUGGGCGCGGCUCUAUUUAUAGGCUGGCGGGGGAAGGACCGAAGUUGUCUUAGCUCCGGUGUCGAUCAUGGUGAGCCAGAUCGAUCAGCAGGGGGUUACGGGGACUGGAAUGUCUACAUCGGCUCAAGGGGGUUACGUUUUACCUCUAAACUGGCUCUAAUCUGUGGUGAUGGCGCCGCUCAACGGAAUGGCAAUACUCGGGCACGGCAACUACAGAGAGCAUGCUCUAUGUUGUGCAAGCCACGGCAACGAGCUACAACGUGCACAUGGGCCAUGCACGGACACGCG